CAUUAAUGUUGCUGUGUUGAAGGGACACUCCUGCAGUUGUGUAACUGUUUUCUGGAGACUGUGCGUCUGUCUUCAGAGAGUCUCCAGUCGGCUGACAAGAGAGAGAAGAUGAUCCUGCUGCUCCUCAUCCUCACCUCCUCAGCAGCAGCACUUGAAGUGAAGAGGCCACAGAGGUUCUAUCAGGCAGAGGAGAACCACAACAUCACACUGGAGUGGACGUUCCCCACACACACUAAGACUAAGACUGAGGACAUUGAUGUCAACUGUUAUCAUGUAGCCAACCACACACAAGUCCUGUAUCAGGUCGAUGCUGGUGUUGAGAUCUCAGAGUCUGUGGAUCAAGGUUUUUCAGGAAGAGUCCAGAGUGACACAGACCUCAGAGAAGGACGAAUCAGACUUCAUCUGUCCAGACUCAGGACUGAAGACUCUGGUCUGUAUGUGUGUGAUGUGAGGAUAGCUUCUGGUUAUGGUUCUCCCAGCUGUGAGCUCACAGUCUCUGCAGCUGCUGCUCAGACACACACUGACAGACCAGCUCUGAGUCCUCCAGCAGACACAGGAAGACGGACAGUCCUCAUCAUUGGACUGAUACUAGGAGGAGUUCUCCUGAUCAUCAUUGUAGUUUUAUUUUUUGUUUGCAGGAAGAAAGAACAAUAUGGUGUCUCAGAACAACAAGCCACCAAACACAAUGUUGUUCUUGGUGAAAUUCAGACAGUAAAUCAGUAAUUCAGAUUUUGUCCUUUACAGCAAGUAGAGGAGGACAGACAGGACUCAACACUGCACUGAUAGCAGCAGGAGGAGCAGCUGUCCUGAUUGGCUGAGUUGUCGCUUAAUUGUUUGUACAAUGAUGAAUAAAAACACAAUAUUGUUAUUCAUAUAGACUCAUUCAGUGUUCAGACUGCUGCAUCAACAUGUGUCAGUCAUUACUGUUUAUAUGUCAUGUGUGAAUAAAAGUGAUGUUUCAUCUUAUAACAGCCGUCAUCUUAAAACACCAUCCUUGAGUCCAGAUGCCUCUUGGACACACUGUUCAAAAUGAUCAUGUGAAACAAGGGGACUGGAGCAGAGCUGCAGAUGUGUUAGGUUCAUUUGUAAAAAGUCCAAAGAUUUAACAGUCUAACCAUUGUUUAUGCAGCUUUAGUCCACCAGAGGAAU
ensembl:lncRNA